rnacentral:rRNA from 1 species
UGCCCUAUAAUGCAGUUCGAGCGAACGGACGAAGAAGCUUGCUUUCUCUGAUGUUAGCGGCGGACGGGUGAGUAACACGUGGAUAACCUACCUAUAAGACUGGGAUAACUUCGGGAAACCGGAGCUAAUACCGGAUAAUAUUUUGAACCGCAUGGUUCAAAAGUGAAAGACGGUCUUGCUGUCACUUAUAGAUGGAUCCGCGCUGCAUUAGCUAGUUGGUAAGGUAACGGCUUACCAAGGCAACGAUGCAUAGCCGACCUGAGAGGGUGAUCGGCCACACUGGAACUGAGACACGGUCCAGACUCCUACGGGAGGCAGCAGUAGGGAAUCUUCCGCAAUGGGCGAAAGCCUGACGGAGCAACGCCGCGUGAGUGAUGAAGGUCUUCGGAUCGUAAAACUCUGUUAUUAGGGAAGAACAUAUGUGUAAGUAACUGUGCACAUCUUGACGGUACCUAAUCAGAAAGCCACGGCUAACUACGUGCCAGCAGCCGCGGUAAUACGUAGGUGGCAAGCGUUAUCCGGAAUUAUUGGGCGUAAAGCGCGCGUAGGCGGUUUUUUAA